GCAGGAGUUUGAGAACUGGAGGAAGUUCAGGCAGUACAGAGGCUCUGAUGAGACAUGUGACAUGGAUGGCGCUGUCAGAUUGAGUGUUCACCAGAUAAAUGAACGGAUGGAGAAUUACCAUAUGCUUUCUCCUCUGGGCGAUGCACAGCACCCUGAUGGAGAUACUGCCAAGCUUCUGUUCAGCAGUGUCUCCCUUCAGCCUCCCUGCAGCUGCAGACCUAACACCAAAGCCAGCCGACAGCAAAUAUCCUUCUCUUUGUGAGCAAAUGACUGUGGAUGGUACAAGCUUAUUUGACAAUAACGAAAUUUGUUUCGAGUAAGGAUAACACAGGGAAAAAAAAAAAAAAAACCUAAUCAGAACAUUGUUAUUUUGACACAUUUAGUUACCUUUUAGAAAGUGCCCUCCUAAUUUGCAGUUUGACGGGAUCUCAGCAUCCAGUAGAAAGCUGGGGAUUUUUCAUCCCAUUGACAGGAAUCCAUUAAUAAAACAACAAUCUUUUGUGUAUAGUAA